GCCUAACACAUGCAAGUCGAACGGUAACAGAAAGAUCAGCUUGCUGUUUGCUGACGAGCGGUGGCGGACGGGUGAGUAAUGUCUGGAGGGAAACUGCCUGAUGGAGUGAGGGGAUAACUACUGGAAACUGAUGGUAGCUAAUACCGCAUAACGUCGCAAGACCAAAGAGGGGGACCUUCGGGCCUCUUGCCAUCGGAUGUGCCCAGAUGGGAUUAGCUAGUAGGGGGUAACGGCUCACCUAGGCGACGAUCCCUAGCUGGUCUGAGAGGAUGACCGCCACCUGGAACUGAGACACGGUCCAGACUCCUACGGGAGGCAGCAGUGGGGAUAUGCACUUGGGCGCAAGCCUGAUGCAGCCAUGCCGCGUGUAUGAAGAAGGCCUUCGGGUUUAAAGUACUUUCAGCGGGGAGGAAGGGAGUAAAGUUAAUACCUUUGCUCAUUACGUACCCGCAGAAGAAGCACCGGCUAACUCCGUCCAGCAGCCGCGGUAAUACGGAGGUGCAAGCGUUAAUCGGAAUUACGGGGCGUAAAGCGCACGCAGGCGGUUUGUUAAGCAGAUGUGAAAUCCCCGGGCUCAACCUGGGAACUGCAUCUGAUACUGGCAAGCUGAGUCUCGUAGAGGGGGGUAGAAUUCCAGGUGUAGCGGUGAAAUGCGUAGAGAUCUGAGGAAUACCGGUGGCGAAGGCGGCCCCCUGGACGAAAACUGACGCUAGGUGCGAAAGCGUGGGAGCAAACAGGAUUAGAUACCCUGGUAGUCCACGCCGUAACGAUGUCGACUUGGAGGUUGUG
rnacentral:rRNA from 1 species